CGCAAUUUGGAAGGCAUUGCCUGCCCAGUGACAACUGUUUAACGGCCGCGGUAUCCUGACCGUGCAAAGGUAGCAUAAUCAUUUGUUCUCUAAAUAAGGACUUGUAUGAAUGGCCGCACGAGGGUUUUACUGUCUCUUACUUCCAAUCAGUGAAAUUGACCUUCCCGUGAAGAGGCGGGAAUGCACAAAUAAGACGAGAAGACCCUAUGGAGCUUUAACUAACCAACCCAAAGAGAAUAGAUUUAACCAUUAAGGAAUAACAACAAUCUCCAUGAGUUGGUAGUUUCGGUUGGGGUGACCUCGGAGAAUAAAAAAUCCUCCGAGCGAUUUUAAAGACUAGACCCACAAGUCAAAUCACUCUAUCGCUCAUUGAUCCAAAAACUUGAUCAACGGAACAAGUUACCCUAGGGAUAACAGCGCAAUCCUAUUCAAGAGUCCAUAUCGACAAUAGGGUUUACGACCUCGAUGUUGGAUCAGGACAUCCUGAUGGUGCAACCGCUAUCAAAGGUUCGUUUGUUCAACGAUUAAAGUCCUACGUGAUCUGAGUUCAGACCGGA
rnacentral:rRNA from 1 species